UACAGAGGCCUCGAGCGUUAGGCGGAAUCACUGGGCUUAAAGCGUGUGUAGGCGGAUCGUUAAGUACCUUGUGAAAUCCCACGGCUCAACCGUGGAACUGCUUGGUAUACUGGCGAUCUUGUGCCACCUAGGGGCGAGCGGAACAGAUGGUGGAGCGGUGAAAUGCGUAGAUAUCAUCUGGAACGCCCAUGGUGAAAACAGGUAGCUGGGAGUGUGCUGACGCUGAGACACGAAAGCCAGGGGAGCGAACGGG
rnacentral:rRNA from 1 species